rnacentral:rRNA from 1 species
CAGUCGCCGCGGUAAUACGGAGGGGGCUAGCGUUGUUCGGAAUUACUGGGCGUAAAGCGCACGUAGGCGGCUUUGUAAGUCAGAGGUGAAAGCCCGGGGCUCAACCCCGGAAUUGCCUUUGAGACUGCAUCGCUUGAAUCCAGGAGAGGUGAGUGGAAUUCCGAGUGUAGAGGUGAAAUUCGUAGAUAUUCGGAAGAACACCAGUGGCGAAGGCGGCUCACUGGACUGGUAUUGACGCUGAGGUGCGAAAGCGUGGGGAGCAAACAGGAUUAGAUACCCCCGUAGUCCCUGUCUCUUAUAU